rnacentral:rRNA from 1 species
UACGUAGGGUGCGAGCGUUUAAUCGGAAUUACUGGGCGUAAAGCGUGCGCAGGCGGUUUUGUAAGCCAGGUGUGAAAUCCCCGGGCUCAACCUGGGAAUGGCAUUUGGGACUGCAAGGCUGGAGUGCGGCAGAGGAGACUGGAAUUCCUGGUGUAGCAGUGAAAUGCGUAGAUAUCAGGAGGAACACCGAUGGCGAAGGCAGGUCUCUGGGCUGACACUGGACGCUGAGGAGCGAAAGCAUGGGGAGCGAACAGG